AUUUCUGAUUUUGGCUGUAUGAAG
rnacentral:siRNA from 1 species